rnacentral:rRNA from 1 species
GAUGAACGCUGGCGGCGUGCUUAACACAUGCAAGUCGAACGAUGAAGCCCAGCUUGCCGGGUGGAUUAGUGGCGAACGGGUGAGUAACACGUGAGUAACCUGCCCUUAACUCUGGGAUAAGCCUGGGCAACUGGGUCUAAUACCGGAUAGGAGCGUCCACCGCAUGGUGGGUGUUGGAAAGAUUUAUCGGUUUUGGAUGGACUCGCGGCCUAUCAGCUUGUUGGUGAGGUAAUGGCUCACCAAGGCGACGACGGGUAGCCGGCCUGAGAGGGUGACCGGCCCCACUGGGACUGAGACACGGCCCAGACUCCUACGGGAGGCAGCAGUGGGGAAUAGUGCACAAUGGGCGCAAGCCUGAUGCAGCGACGCCGCGUGAGGGAUGACGGCCUUCGGGUUGUAAACCUCUUUCAGUAGGGAAGAAGCGAAAGUGACGGUACCUUCAGAAGAAGCACCGGCUAACUACGUG